GUGCUCACUUUUGCAACACAGGUACUAAAAUGGGAACAAUGCAGAGAAGAUUAGCAUGGCCUUUGCACAAGGACAUGUAAAUUUGUGAAGCACGCCAUAUUUUC
ensembl:snRNA U6 U6 spliceosomal RNA